rnacentral:rRNA from 1 species
GAUGAACGCUGGCGGCGUGCCUAAUACAUGCAAGUCGUGCGAACGGACGAGAAGCUUGCUUCUCUGAUGUUAGCGGCGGACGGGUGAGUAACACGUGGAUAACCUACCUAUAAGACUGGGAUAACUUCGGGAAACCGUAGCUAAUACCGGAUAAUAUUUUGAACCGCAUGGUUCAAAAGUGAAAGACGGUCUUGCUGUCACUUAUAGAUGGAUCCGCGCUGCAUUAGCUAGUUGGUAAGGUAACGGCUUACCAAGGCAACGAUGCAUAGCCGACCUGAGAGGGUGAUCGGCCACACUGGAACUGAGACACGGUCCAGACUCCUACGGGAGGCAGCAGUAGGGAAUCUUCCGCAAUGGGCGAAAGCCUGACGGAGCAACGCCGCGUGAGUGAUGAAGGUCUUCGGAUCGUAAAACUCUGUUAUUAGGGAAGAACAUAUGUGUAAGUAACUGUGCACAUCUUGACGGUACCUAAUCAGAAAGCCACGGCUAACUACGUG